UUAAACACUUUUUAAAGUAUCAAUUGGAGGGCAAGUCUGGUGCCAGCAGCCGCGGUAAUUCCAGCUCCAAUAGCGUAUAUUAAAAUUGUUGCAGUUAAAAAGCUCGUAGUUGAAUUUCUGCUAAAAAAAGCCGGUCUGCUUUUAAUAAAAGUGGUAUCUUGGUGUGUUUUUAGCAAUAAUGUCUUUCGAAAUGUUUUAUUACUUUAUUGUAUUAGACCAUAUUGAAGAUUUUUACUUUGAGAAAAUUAGAGUGUUUCUAGCAGGCUAACGCUUUGAAUACUGCAGCAUGGAAUAAUAAAAUAGGAUUUUAGUUCUAUAUUAUUGGUUUUAAGAGCUAAAUUAAUGAUGAAUAGGGACAGUUGGGGGCAUUUGUAUUUAACUGUCAGAGGUGAAAUUCUUAGAUUUGUUAAAGACAAACUACUGC
rnacentral:rRNA from 1 species